CGCUCAAUCAGUCACCUGAAGUCUUGGGC
rnacentral:sRNA from 1 species